ensembl:lncRNA
AAGUCCCCAUAUUCCAGGAGAUAUGCAUAUUAAAAUUUAAAAAAGGAUCUCCAUAAUCCUUUGUUGUCUUGAGGCUCUCCCCUCAGGAACUCCAGGAACUCCUGGUGCCGCCUGGGCCGAUGGAUUGGACGCCCCAGCCCCUCCGUUCCUGCCCAGCCACUGGGUCUGUGUCCAGUGGUGGCACUGCCAGCCCUGCAGGUGAAGUGGGAAGGGCCUUUCCAGGUCUUGUGGGUCACAUUUAUAGUAGCCAAAGUUGCAGAAAAAGGAUGUUGAGUCUCUUCUUCUUGAGUUCAGAAAGCUCCUUUUGGUUGGUGAGCAGAACAAAGUGGAUCCUUAAGAGUUCCCAUCUGUGUUUGUGUCUCAGCCUGUGUUAUGAUUCAGGGCUGUAGCUGUUGUUGUCACUGAGGAGUCAAACUCUGCUUUAAAUCAUGAGACACUGGCCUAAUGGUCAAGUGUCAGGAAAAAAGUGGGAAUGAUAUGUGAGUGUUGAGAUGUAACAAGAGCUAAUCCUUUUUGCAGUGGGAUGUAGCCUGGAAACUGCACCGAGCUGAGCCAAGGGACUUACAGGGACCACCCAAGGGAGGUGAAGAAAGAAGGAAGAAGGGAAGUGAGGCAGCAGCCAAGCAGCACCAAGUGCCUGUGUAAGCAGGGAAUAACUCCUGUCAGCAGCAAGGUCCCGACUGAAGUGGCAGCUGCAGUUGUUCCUGUGGUGUGGGCCAGUGGAGUUCCAGGAGAGUGGAAGAGGGCAGAACCUGUAGGUAUUACCCCUGAUGUGGGAUCUAUAUGGGUAAGGCAAACCCAGUAUCCUUUAAAAUCAGAAUUCCAGCUUGGAUUGGUUGCAGUAACAACUAAAUUGGCUCAUCCUGGUUUGCUUGUAGGAUGUGAAUGCAAGAACCUGCCAAGGAACCAAUGGCCAAGAUGAUUGAUGAGUGCAGGACCUGAGAGAACCACCUUGAAUGACAACCUUAGGUUUAAAAGAUGGCUGUUGCUUUUGAAGGAGAAAAUCUGGAAAGCAGGAAGGAAGAAAAGAAGUCACCUGACUCUUCCCUGAGCCCCAGACAGCCCAUGAACUGCCUUCCUGGGAAUGGUAGGACGGGGUGGACUCUGGAUUGCUCCCUCUGGAUGUGUGGCUCUCCCCUCAGGAACUCCAGGAACUCCUGGUGCCGCCUGGGCCGAUGGAUUGGACGCCCCAGCCCCUCCGUUCCUGCCCAGCCACUGGGUCCGUGUCCAGUGGUGGCACUGCCAGCCCUGCAGUGGGAUGUAGCCUGGAAACUGCACAGAACUGAGCCAAGGAAUUUAAAGGGACCAACCAAGGGAGGUGAAGAAAGAAGGAAGAAGGGAAGUGAGGCAGCAGCCAAGCAGCACCAAGUGCCUGUGUAAGCAGGUGAGUUGUGUUGAGGUUCCUAAGGCAGGCACUGAGGACUUUGAGGGCUCCAGACAGAGCAGAGCUGCGAAGGCCCUCGGUGAAGUCCCUUGGAAACCUUCUAAGGGUAGGUGUGUAUGGUAGUAAGUGUUGGAUAAUGCCCUGAAUGUGGAACAGGAAUGCAGAGAACAAAAAUGAAUCCUCCUGUCAUGCUGCCAUAUCAGCUGCAGUGGAGAUAGCUCUGUGUGCCCUUUGGGAGCUGAUUGCCAGGACACCUGGUGGGGUGGAAUGAUUCAAGAGCACAGGAAUAAAAGGUUGCCUGGCUUCUAAACCUCUCCA